rnacentral:rRNA from 1 species
GACGAACGCUGGCGGCGUGCCUAAUACAUGCAAGUCGAGCGGAUGGAAGGAAGCUUGCUUCCUAAAGUCAGCGGCGGACGGGUGAGUAACACGUGGGCAACCUGCCCCUAAGAUCGGGAUAACUUCGGGAAACCGGAGCUAAUACCGGAUAUGAUUAUGUCUCACAUGAGACAUAAUGGAAAGACGGUUUCGGCUGUCACUUAGGGAUGGGCCCGCGGCGCAUUAGCUAGUUGGUGAGGUAACGGCUCACCAAGGCGACGAUGCGUAGCCGACCUGAGAGGGUGAUCGGCCACACGGGGACUGAGACACGGCCCAGACUCCUACGGGAGGCAGCAGUAGGGAAUCUUCCGCAAUGGACGAAAGUCUGACGGAGCAACGCCGCGUGAGUGAAGAAGGUUUUCGGAUCGUAAAACUCUGUUGUUAGGGAAGAACAAGUACCAUAGUAACUGAUGGUACCUUGACGGUACCUAACUAGAAAGCCACGGCUAACUACGUGCCAGCCGCCGCGGUAACAC